AGAGUUUGAUCCUGGCUCAGGAUGAACGCUGGCGGCGUGCUUAACACAUGCAAGUCGAACGAAGCACUUUAUUUGAUUUCCUUCGGGACUGAUUAUUUUGUGACUGAGUGGCGGACGGGUGAGUAACGCGUGGGUAACCUGCCUUGUACAGGGGGAUAACAGUUGGAAACGGCUGCUAAUACCGCAUAAGCGCACGGCAUCGCAUGAUGCAGUGUGAAAAACUCCGGUGGUAUAAGAUGGACCCGCGUUGGAUUAGCUGGUUGGUGGGGUAACGGCCCACCAAGGCGACGAUCCAUAGCCGGCCUGAGAGGGUGAACGGCCACAUUGGGACUGAGACACGGCCCAGACUCCUACGGGAGGCAGCAGUGGGGAAUAUUGCACAAUGGGGGAAACCCUGAUGCAGCGACGCCGCGUGAAGGAAGAAGUAUCUCGGUAUGUAAACUUCUAUCAGCAGGGAAGAUAAUGACGGUACCUGACUAAGAAGCCCCGGCUAACUACGUGCCAGCAGCCGCGGUAAUACGUAGGGGGCAAGCGUUAUCCGGAUUUACUGGGUGUAAAGGGAGCGUAGACGGUGUGGCAAGUCUGAUGUGAAAGGCAUGGGCUCAACCCGUGGACUGCAUUGGAAACUGUCAUACUAGAGUGUCGGAGGGGUAAGCGGAAUUCCUAGUGUAGCGGUGAAAUGCGUAGAUAUUAGGAGGAACACCAGUGGCGAAGGCGGCCUACUGGGCACCAACUGACGCUGAGGCUCGAAAGUGUGGGUAGCAAACAGGAUUAGAUACCCUGGUAGUCCACACCGUAAACGAUGAUUACUAGGUGUUGGAGGAUUGACCCCUUCAGUGCCGCAGUUAACACAAUAAGUAAUCCACCUGGGGAGUACGACCGCAAGGUUGAAACUCAAAGGAAUUGACGGGGACCCGCACAAGCGGAGGAACAUGUGGUUUAAUUCGAUGAUACGCGAGGAACCUUACCCGGGCUUAAAUUGCAAAUGAAUUAUGGGGAAACCCAUAGGCCGUAAGGCAUUUGUGAAGGUGCUGCAUGGUUGUCGUCAGCUCGUGCCGUGAGGUGUCGGCUUAAGUGCCAUAACGAGCGCAACCCUUAUCUUCAGUUACUAACAGGUCAUGCUGAGGACUCUGGAGAGACUGCCGUCGUAAGAUGUGAGGAAGGUGGGGAUGACGUCAAAUCAGCACGGCCCUUACGUCCGGGGCUACACACGUGUUACAAUGGGGGGUACAGAAGGCCGCUACCUGGUGACAGGAUGCCAAUCCCAAAAACCUCUCUCAGUUCGGAUCGAAGUCUGCAACCCGACUUCGUGAAGCUGGAUUCGCUAGUAAUCGCGCAUCAGCCAUGGCGCGGUGAAUACGUUCCCGGGCCUUGUACACACCGCCCGUCA
rnacentral:rRNA from 1 species